rnacentral:lncRNA from 1 species
GACAUUCGGAGCUGCUCUUCAGGGUUCUGGGCACGUCGCAUAUUGCGCCCCAGCCUUCUCAGCAGCCAGGAGCUGGGAGGUGGAGGGGCCUGUGGUCUGGCCGCCACCUAGCAGGCCUGCAUGGCCACCUCCAGCCGGGUGCAGGCUGGCUGGGGUGGGGCUGCCCUUGACCUUGGGCUCUCCCUCCUCCGCCAGAUCCUCAGGCGCUGGCUCAGCCUCCCACGGCCUGGGGGAGCCUCUGUCUGCUCCUUCCAGCCGUUCAAGGACGAGGCUUCCGAAAGACUCACUGUUCCUGUGUGGGGAACUGAGGCUGUGUGAAGGCUGGAUGAACCGCUGCUGUGGCCUGCGCGGACCAGGGCUGACCGUGGCACAGCCUGUGGAUCAUCCACCAGGAGUGCCUGAGGGGACCAGCUUGGACGCAGCCCGUGGGGAGCUGGGCGCGCUCUUCUGGAGCUGGACGGCCUCCAGGGUCCCCUCAGAGUGUCUCCGAUGGGGAGGCUGGACACAGCGUCCCUGCACCAAGGGGGCAGUGCUCUCGUCACAGAGCAGAGGGCCGCACCGCCCGUGUUUGUCUUUCCCAUUGCAGCUUCUCAGGCCCUAGGCCAGGCCUCGUUCCCAUCAGAUAAAGCCUGGGGCGGCCGGACGCAGUGCAAGCAAUCGUGCCUGACUCACAGGAAGGGAGGAAAACAGGAAUUCACGCAGAAGCUGUAAUGUUCCCCCUUGGCCCUGGGAAGGGUGUGAAGGGAUGUGCGGGGGGGCGGCUCUGCCCUUCCUCGCCCCCUUCCAGGUGCCUAGACUUGGGAAGGAGAGGGAUGCCGCCAAGCUCGGGUCCUGCAGGGCCCCGGCCUUCUGGUGUGGGAUCUGACUUGGGAAGGCCCGGCGCUGGGGCUGCUGCUGAAAUUCUUGAGACUGGUUGACAAGGGAUCCCGUGGUUUCAUUUUGCACCGGGCCCCUCCAGGGAUGGAGAGGGUCCUGACUGGCAGUGUCGAAGCCCCGGGGUCUCUCCUUGGUCCCUGGCUCCCCUCACAGCCCUCCCUGCCCAUGGAGCUCCGGGCUUCCACACACAUUUCUCUCCUUUUUAACGGCUCAUUUCUUUGGGUUCAGCAGUACCUGGGUCCCCAGUGCCCUCCUUCUGAGGCUCUCUCCUUUGAGUGGCCACCCUCCCCCCACACACUUGGAGCCCGGAACCGGGAGUGCCGUGGACACCAGCCCUCCCUGGCCCAGACCCUCUGCCUCUCCUGGGCCUCCCAAGAGUAAAACCUCUCCACGCCAGACCAGGCUGCAAACCUGGAUUUGAAACCAGCGCUGUCGCACUCCUUGAACUGUAUCAGGGGUUUUCAGUAGCGGGACCGGAACCAGAACCCAAAAGAGGCUCCUUCCUUGUCUUGAAUUCCUCCCACCUGAGUUAGCAUCUUGGAGGUCAACGUUUCAAGGAAUUCAGUAUCUGAGAAGAGAAAGACACCAAACCGUAGUUCCCCAUGAGGACUUGUUGCUGGAAAAAACAUCUAACUCCAUACAAUGUUUGAAGAGAGUUAUUCUGAGCCAAAUGUGAGAAGCAUGACCGGUGACACAGCUCCAGGGGGUCCUGAGGACAUGUGCCGCAGGGGGUUGGGCCACAGCCCGAGCUCAUACACUACGGGGACAGGAGGUUCAGGCAGAGUCAGUCAAUACUUGACAGAUGUACGUUGGCUCUGCCCAGAAAGGCGGGACGACUUCAAGGUGAGGAGGGGCUUCCUGGUCACAGGUGGGUUCAAAGACUUUCUGAUUAGCAAUUGGUUGAGAGAGUUAAGUUAUUAUCUGAUCACCUGGACUCAAUAGAAAGGAGUGUCUGGAUUAAGAUAAGGGGCUGUGGAGACCAAAGUUCUUAUUCUGUAGAAGAAAUCUCAUAGGGGGCUGCCCUUCGAGGCAAUAGAUGGCAAAUGUCUCCUAUUGAGACCUUUGAAAUGUGCUAGACGCUAAGCCCAUCUCUCCAGCAUCAGAAAAAGCCCUGGAAAGGGAAGAGGAUUCUCUACAGAAUGUGGAUUUUCCCCACAAGAGACAGCUUUGCGGGGCCGUUUAAAAUUAUGUCAAACACUCUAUUCCUUCCAGGACCUGCUCCCUGUCAUGUGAUGUUAUACUAGACUCGGGUUGGAAUUUGGUGUCUUAUUGCUACAAACAGCCUGUGCUGUCAGUCUUAAACUCUCGGUUUUAAUGUGAGUGCUGGUCAGCUGGGCCUGAAUUCCAUAGGGAGGGGGGUAUAAAGAGACGUGUCCGACCCCCACUUCCCAUCACAGCCUGAACUUGUUUUUUAGGUUUACUUUGGAAUCCUCUUGGCUGAGAAGAGGGUUCCAUUCAGUUGGUUGGGGAGCUUAGAGUUUUAUUUUUGGGCUGGGCACGGUAUCUCACGCCUGUAAUCCCAGCACUUUGGGAGGCCGAGGCAGGUGGAUCACCUGAGGUCAGGAGUUCAAGACCAGCCUGGCCAGCGUGGCAAAACCCCAUCUCUACUAAAAAUACAAAAAUUAGCCAGGCGUGGUGGUGGGUGCCUGUAAGCUCAGCUACUCGGGAGGCUGAGGCAAGAGAAUCGCUUGAACCUGGGAGGCGGAGGUUGCUGUGAGCCGAGCUAGUGCCACUGUAGACACAGCGAGACUCUGUCUCAAAAAAAAAAAAAAUUAUUUUUGGUUCACAGACUUAAAAGAAUCAGUGCUCUGCCAAGCAAGCCAGCAUCCCUCUAAUUUUUUCUUAAUUAAUAAACUAUUUUUAAGAGCAGCUUUAGGUUUCAGAAAAUAGAACAGAUAACAAUUACCAUAUCCCUUCUCUCCAUCCUCCCUUGCCCUCCAGUUCCACUACUGAGAACAUUCUGUGGGUGCUGACAGAUGAAUCAUGGCACACGAUCCCCAUUACAGUAUCACAGAGCAGCUUCCUGGGCCCCUAAAUCCUCCAUGCUCCUGCCACGCACCCUCCCUGCCCUCCUUGCUCCUGCCAUGCACCCUCCCUGCCCUCCGUGCUCCUGCCACUCACCCUCCCUGCCCUCUGUGCUCCUGCCACUCACCCUCCCUGCCCUCCGUGCUCCUGCCAUGCACCCUCCCUGCCCUCCUUGCUCCUGCCACUCACCCUUCCUGCACUCUGUGCUCCUGCCAGUCACCCUCUGCCCAGCCCCGGCAGCUGCUGAUCUUUCUUGUUUUCAUGGUUUUGCCUUUUCCUGAAUGUCAUGGAGUUGGAAUCACACAGUAUCCAGCCUUUUCCAAUGGGCUUCUUCACCUAGCAGCAUCUAAGAUUCCUCCCUGCCUUUUCACAGCCUGGCAGUUCCUUUCUUUUUAGCACUGAAAAAUAUUCCAUUGUCUGGAGGGACCCCAGCUUAUCCGUUCACCUAUGAAGGUAUCUUGGUUUCUCCUAAGUUUCUGGAGAUGAUGAAAUCCACCCUCUAAUUUUCACCUGUUUCUCUGUGCUCCGCCCCUCCCAACUGGGAGCUCUGACAGGGAGGGGGAUGCCCACGCUGCCAUGUGGCCCGCAGCACCCACUCACCCUGUGUCUGCUGAACUGCAUGGUAGGGAACAGAAGGGAGGCUGGAAGUUCCCCGUGGGAAGGGAGAGAGGAAUGAGCCCUUUUGUCCCUCUGUCGGGUGGAGAGCCGCACAAGUGACACACAGGGGUCCCUCCCUGAUGCUGCUGGGAAGGAGGCAGGAGGAAGGGAUGUCCCAAAGUGGGGCGCACAGACCCUAGAUAGAUAGACCCUAGAUAGACCCUAAAUAGACCCUAGAUAGACCCUAAAUAGAUAGAUCCUAGAUACAUAGACCCCAGAUAGACUCUAGAUAGACCCGAGGUAGACUGCCCGGGUCUGUCCAGGCCAACUUGAGGGCUUCCCUUAGGAGGCAACUGUCCAGGUCCUCUCUGGGUUGGAGACUGGGGUUUGCCAAUCACCACUUAAUUUAAACUCUUUAAAAUGUAUAUAUCUGAGAACAUUCAGGACCAGAAGGCAGUGAAGUUGAUAGCUUCCUAUCAACCCUCUUAAAACCAUGGAGAUCCCAGCCUUCUCUGCAGGGAAGGGGGCAGAGCCCGGAGCCUGACCCUGGGGCAGCCAUGCCCUGUGAUAAUCCACCAGAGCCCAGGAGCCCACUGUCCUUGUUGAGAAGAGCAGGCGCCUCUGCUUUGUAGUGGAAUCACUGCAUACAGAACAUGCUUCUGAAAGUUCCUGCCCCUCAGCCCUGUGGAGAUCCGGCCUCCCUCCCUCCAUGGCCUUGGCUGUCUGCCCGGCUUCAGGAGAUACAGUCCAGCCUCCUUGGUGACUGUGUGAGGCUGGGUGAGUCACUGCCCCCUUUCUGACCUUGUCUGAUUCAUGGUAAAACGGGCUAUGAGUAACUGGUUUAAUCUUGCACAUGAACUGGGAUUGACUGGUAAUGGCUGUCUGGAGUCUGGGUCUAGCUCUGUGUAGAUUAGACAUGUCUGCCAUGGUGCGGGUGAGGGAGGUGGGGUUGUGCCGAAGUCUCUGCCAUCGGCUAUUCUCUGGGGUUUUUCUACUGGUCCUACUCGUUUUUGUUCAUUUUACAAUCCAGAGUUGUGAGUUGGGUAGAUCAGCUGGGAAAAAAUGGAAAAGUAGUUGUUUUAAUUAUUUCCCCUUUAUGUGGUUAAAAAGAAGAUGAAGAAGAUUCUUUAAGUUCUAGCAUUGACUGUUGAAAGCCACUUGUAUAAAAGGUGCCAAGAACUACAGGAUUCUUUCAUCUACUGCUUUGCUUCAGAGAUCAUCUGGCAGCCAGCAUGGUGGAUCACGCCUGUAAUCCCAGCACUUGGGGAGGCCGAGGUGGGCAGAUCACUCGAGGUCAGGAGUUCAAGACUAGCCUGGCCAAUAUGAUGAAACCCCGUCUCUACUAAAAGUACAAAAAUUAGCCGGGCAUGGUGGCACAUGCCUGUAAUCCCAGCUACUCAGGAGGCUGAGGCAGGAGAAUUGCUUGAUCCUGGGAGGCGGAGGUUGCAGUGAGCCAAGAUUGCAUCAUUGCACUCCAGCCUGGGUGACAAGAGUAAAACUCUGUCUCAAUAAAUAAAUAAAUACAUAGGCUAUUCUAGAUCCCUUUGCAUCUCUGUAUAACUUUUAGAAACAGCUUAUCAACUUCCACCAAAAAAAAAAUCAGCUAGAGUUUUGAUUGCAAAUACUUUGAGAUUACAGAUAAAUUUUGGGGAAGAUUAACAUUGUAAUGGUAUUGAGUGUUUGAAUCCAUGAACAUGGUAUACUUCUCCAUUUAUUUAGGUCUUAUUUAAUUUCUCUCAAUAAUGUUUUGACAUUUUCAGUGUAAAAUUGUUCAGUAGCUUCUUUCCUUAAUAUACAACCAUGUCAUACAUAGACAUGUACGAUAUGGGCUGUGCUCUCAAAUUGCUUAGGGUCCGAUAGCUGGGAGAAAUAAAAAAUCUUGGACAAUGAGCCCAAGUAAUUUAAGACAUUCACAGUUGGGCUGUGGGUUGCUCUUGCCAAUGUGCAGAUGCAGGCUGCAUAUGUUGCAGGGUCCUCCUCAUUCAUUCCUCAAACAUUUAUCAAGCAUCAGUGAUAUGCCCAAACGCUUAGAAUAUAGUGCUAAGCCAGAUGGGUUCUAUGGGAAAGGAAACUCAAUAGUAAUGAUAAUUAUGUGCCAGGCAUUUUCUACAUGCUUUCCCUGUGUUAUCUCAUAUCAUCCCAACACAGCUAUAAAGAAAGUGCUAUUUUUAAUAAACUUCAUUUUUAGAGCAAAGUCUAAACCUCUGUUUUAAGUUCACAGCAACAUUGAGCAGAAGGUACAGAGAUUUCCCAUAUAUCCUCUGCCCCCACACAGGCAUUGCCUCUCUCAUUAUCAACAACCCUCACUAGAGUGGUACAUUCAUUCCAGCUUGUAAACCUACACUGACACAUUAUUA